rnacentral:rRNA from 1 species
GAGAAGCGGCGGACGGGUGAGUAAUGCCUAGGAAUCUGCCUGGUAGUGGGGGAUAACGUUCGGAAACGGACGCUAAUACCGCAUACGUCCUACGGGAGAAAGCAGGGGACCUUCGGGCCUUGCGCUAUCAGAUGAGCCUAGGUCGGAUUAGCUAGUUGGUGAGGUAAUGGCUCACCAAGGCGACGAUCCGUAACUGGUCUGAGAGGAUGAUCAGUCACACUGGAACUGAGACACGGUCCAGACUCCUACGGGAGGCAGCAGUGGGGAAUAUUGCACAAUGGGCGAAAGCCUGAUCCAGCCAUGCCGCGUGUGUGAAGAAGGUCUUCGGAUUGUAAAGCACUUUAAGUUGGGAGGAAGGGUUGUAGAUUAAUACUCUGCAAUUUUGACGUUACCGACAGAAUAAGCACCGGCUAACUCUCGUGC